UGGACUCUUACAUCUGCUCCUUUAUGUGCAGAAACACAGGGAGAGAGUCAAGCCAAGUGCGGCUCCCCUACUUGGCCAAUGUGAAUAGUAAAGUGCUGUGUGAGUGGAAAAGCAGUUAGAUUUCCUAACUUUACUACACUGGGAUUUCCCAGGAAAGCACAGGCUGGAAGAAUGAUGUAAUGGGUAUAUUUUACAUAUGUUUUCAAUAAGCAUGCCUGUGUGGGCCAUUCAUGGAAAAACCCUUCCCAUCAAGUCACACCACGUGGGACAGAGUCUGGCAGUACCAGCAGUGCCCCAGUCCCCAUAGUCUCCUGUUUCAGUCGUUAAAAGGCGAUUUUGACUCUCCCUUUGUAGAAAUCAUACAGCUUCUGUAUCUGAUCAGAAGGUCAACAACACAAUCAUCUGAUGUUAGGCUAGAGGUAAGAACAGCCGGCUCUGGGGUUCCCGGAGGAAGGAAUUGCCAAUCUCGCCUGAAAGAACUGGUAAAUACCUAGAGCACAAUGCUGGGUGUUAGGGGUCUGUGACUCCCAGGUGUGAAGCCACUGGCGGAGUAUCCAGGGGCCGAGGGCUGAUGCAUUUCUCCUCAUCCACCUCACUCUGACCCCGGAUGCCAGUUAACCCAGGAGAGGUCCCUGAACACAACCCCGAUGCAAGCAAAGGUGGUGGACAAUACGGAGGAGGAUGAAGAGGCAUGGUCCACCACAACAGGUUGCCCAGAGAGGCUGUAGAGAGUUUAAAAGGAAGGAGUGAGAGGGAUCACCAGACCAUGAAGCAUCCCCUGUGGGAGGAAGGAGGAGCUCAAGGUCAGGAGAGCACUGUUCCCUGGGAGGCAUGGAAAUUAAGGCUCAAGAAGGUGACUUGCCCAAGACUUCAUAGCCCACAACUGCUGGAGGUGGGAUUUGAACUCGUCUGCGAGGUUCGAAAUCACCCCAGCCCAGUGCCUGCUCCUGACAGAGACUCAGCAAGUGCAGCUCUGCGUGUUUCCUCCAUCACAGAGGCCUGCUUAGGGGAAAAAUCUUGCUGAAGAAAAGUGGCCGAUGGUUUCGAGAGAAGAGACGCUUAUUCAUGUAAUUCUCAAGAAUCCCAUCUCCGGCUUAGAAGGACACCUUUUCUGAUUUCCCAUUCAAAGGGACUGACGUACACUCAGGGGCUGAGGCAGCAGCUGUUUUUGCUGUGCACAGACUGGAGAGCGAUGUGUGAGUGAAGUCUGUGGCCACUUCUCUCCUCCCCCGAGCCUUCUGGGGUUUGGGUUUAUGACUCCAGAGGCGGAGAAGCGUGUUCCCUUUCUGUGCGGAUCCCGUCAUUGACAGAGUCUGUUUUAGAAGAGCAUUUUUAGAUGGCAGCGAACGUUCCAGACCCCAAAGCAUUCUCUUUACAGCACCGUCUAGCUUGGGUGGGGAUAGGGUGGGUUUGUGAACACGUGUGUGCGUGAGAGUGUGAGUGUGUGCAAGUGUGUGCACGUGUGUGUCAGUCCCUCUGUCUGGCUCCCACUGCUAGCCACCUCUGUCAUAUCCUGACUAUUUCGCCGGGGCAUCGUCCAGCCAUAGGAAUCUUCAGCAAACCUACAGUUCAGACGAACGCCCUCGUUUCUGCCCUGAGAAGAAAGUCCGUUGAGUCUGAGGGCUCCCGAGUCAUUCUCUCAAGGCAUUCAUUCAGUUUUGUUUCCCCUGGUGCUACCCUCUCUGAAGUCGUUAUUACUCAUUAGGUGUAUUGCACAUACAGAAAAAGUAGGUCAAGGAUUAAAAAAAAAAAGAAAAAACAUCUCUGGGAGAAGCACAAGUAUUGUGUAAAGCUAUUUUGAACUUGCGUGAGAUUUUUCAAGGGGGAAAUGUUUUGUGCAGAGACGGCUGCUGCCACAGCUGACUUACCAAUGAAUGCCCGUGUCUGAGCCUUUCAUACGCUAACCACGUGACCUUGGAAUUCCAUUUUGAAAUGAUAAUUGUGCCCAGUGGGGUGAGCAGCCUCUCAAUCCAGGUUCUAUACAAUAUAGGUCACCUCGAGGAUCCUCAGUAGAACAGGAACAAGAGAAUCCUGAGAAAUCUCUGUAAAGAAACAGAAAGAAUGAGAGAGAAAACUGUGUGUCUAACCACCGGGCCCCUGGGCCCUAUGUGCCACCCAGGUUUGGAGCAAGGCUGCGGGGCAGAUGAUGUCCAGGAGAGCCUCAGAAAGUCCGGGCUCUAGAAAAAAAUACGUUCCAGCUCACUCUGCUCUGACCCUGCAUCUGCUCUGUGCUGAAAGCUUUGUUGCUGCCAUGAAUAUAUUUAAGGGGAAUAAAAUGUGCAGUGUCAAAGCGACUGGCUUGAAGUGGGCUGGAUGCAUCCUAGGCUCCGCGAGGGAAAAGGCCUCUAGCUGGCAGUUGACAGAAGGGGGAAGGCAGUGAGGAGUGGGCCCACCCACGGGAGUCUGGGCAUGAGGCGGGUCCUGGUUCCCAGGCUGCCCCGUGGGAAUAUGCUCCAUGGGCUGGGGCUGCUGUGCUGGCUGCUCUUGCCCCCAGGGGGUCACUACGCUGGGCUUCUCCAUCAGGGCUAUCACGAUAUUGCCCAGGGUUUACAGGUUUACAGGCAUUAUCUCACUCAGUGUUGUUUUGCUCCCUUUCACAAAGAAAGGAAGGAAAAGAGAGGCAGGGGGUGAGAGAGGAAGCCAGACUAGCAUUCAGCUCUGCUAGUUGUUCCUCGCCUGGGUUAGGCUUCCCUGGAAAGUAGCCUGCAUUGUCUUGCACCUCCUUCAUCUGACAGCCAGGUGCUCCUACUGGAGCAUAACUGUAGUAGGCCAUUUCUGUGCCAGUUGACUGAGAAGGCAGUGUCCCUGCUUUUCUGGAAACUUCCACACAACACAAUUCCCGAUGGAAAGCAUUUAACAAUUAUGGGUGGGGCUCUGAUCAAAAAGUAAGCUUUAGAAAAGGUUAACAGCUAAGCUGGGCAUGGUGGCUCACACCUGUAAUCCCAGCACUUUAGGAGGCCGAGGCGUGCAGAUCACCUGAGGUCAGGAGUUCGAGACCAACCUGGCCAUCGUGGCAAAACUCUGUCUCUACUAAAAAUACAAACAACAACAACAACAAAAGAAAAAAAAAUUAGCCGAUCAUGGUGGCAGGCACAAGCCUGUAAUCCCAGCUACUUAGAAGGCUGAGGCAGGAGAAUCGUUUGAACCUGGGAGGUGGAGGUUGCAGUGAGCCGAGAUUGUACUACAGCACUCCAGCCUGGGCAAAAGAGUGAGACGCUCUCUCAAAUUAAAAAACAACAAAAAAAGGUAACAGCAAGUGGUUACAACCCAUGAAUCUUUAAUCAUUUUAAAUAGUAAAAGUGUUUGGAAACUCUUAUAAUAUUAGAGCUAAAACACACCUUAGGGAUGAUUUAAGGCACUUUUUCAAACGAUAAACAAGAUCCAGAUAAUUACGUCAAAUAUUUAUAGUAACCCAUCUUAUUGGUGCCAGUUUGAGAAUAGAACCCACAUUUGCAAAUAAUCUCAACACCUUCUGUUUCACCUCACUUUUCAAAGGUCCUUGAGAAGGGUAUUUGCACACUGCCUGCAAGGUAGCUGCAAUGGCUAUAAAGCUAUUGCGUAGAUAGAAUUCCAAUUGCGUAGAUAGAAUUCUACUCUAUCUGUGUUAACCUAGCUAAAAUUAAUGUGCUGUGAUAAAACUCACCAACUAAACAUG
rnacentral:lncRNA from 1 species